GGAUAUGGUGUGCUACUGAUUCUCCUGGAGAAGCCUGGAUUUCCUGAUAUGAACUGAUAUGUACUCAUCAUUGGAGGAGCUCAGGGAGGUACCUCCAUGCUGGGCUUUCAGGAGAUCUGGAGAAUCUUCAGAAUCUUUGAUUUCAGAGAACUACAGCCAAGAAGUCUGUUUGGUCCUGCAGUGUGUCUCCUGAGGUUUGCAUGUUGACAAAAAUCUCCAGCAAUUUGAGAGCCUAACGCGGUGAGGAGUCCACAUUCCUUGAACAAUAUUCCAUGGACAUGGACUACAGUGGAGGCAUGCUGGGAAUCUGUGUCAAUGUUCACCUGCUUAUCUUUUGCUCAGUGGAGGGCCUCUAUGAAUGCCAAAGCUCAGUCCACUGAGUUGACCAAUUUUGGGGAACGGUUCUGGCGAACAGCACUGCCUCAGCAGUUACAAUAGCAUAGUGUUGUUCGUCUUUAACAAAGAUACUUCCAUCUGCCAAAGGCUCCAUCUGGAGAGCAACUGAACCUUGGAGUUGUCUCCCUGGAAACUGGUAGCUCUGCAGAAGCCACCUGGGAUCAUACUUGGCACCAGACUUCUCCAGUACAUUUCCCAGCAGGUAAAGGUGAAGCCCAGAGAGACUUCAGUUACUGGGAACUGAGAUAAUGCUCCCAGGUCCAGAAAAGCGACCUACUUGUCAUAAGUAUUCAUCCUGGCUUCUUUGGAGGCACAAUGUGACUGGGAUGAAGAGGAGGGUGUUUGAUAGUCAGGCAAGACAGCUGGACUUCUGUCUCAUGUGUCCCUGUCAUGGUGUGGUCAUCACUAGGAGUUCAGAUCAGCCUGCAGGUAGUAGAGUCCAGGGGUUGUGUCUAGUUACCAUGGAGAACUUGUGGGAACUGAGGAGGCUGCUGUGCUGUGCAAAGGUGGUCUGGCUGCUGCUGAUUUUCCUGCAUCUGCUCCUCUAGCUCCUAAGCUCGUAGAUGAUACGUGUAUUAAGACCAUGUCUGCUGGGGUACUGUAGACUAAGGAAAACUGCAGCCUGCAGGUCCAGAAGACUGGGUAAGGGUCUCAUGUUCAGAGGUCCCUUGAUGGCAGCAUCUUCUGUGCUGAGUUCAGAGUCAGGGCCAGGCACAGGCUUCAAUGGGCACCAGGCCUAGUUUAAGAAUCUGUACAUGUCCUCUUUGCAGACAGUGAAGAAAGGAAGUGGAGAGGGAUCCAGGCCACCUUGGAGAAGCCCCAGAAUUUCGCCUCUGUCUGUACCUUGGCAGGGCUCACUGUCUUGGCCAUCUUUCCUGCAAGCACAAGGCUCUGUGAUCUGCGAGUUGUACUGAAGGAGGUGCUGUCUAUAGUGUCCAGGGCAGGUACCAGCCCCUACUUUUGGUCCUCACUAAGCCUACAGAUAGUAAAAUCUUACUGUGGCCAUGCAAAAAAUGGGAGAAUCCACUGCUCGUGUGAAGAUUAAUAAACAAGUUAGCCAUACAUUUCAUGAGUACUUUUAAAGUUUGCUUGGAGUUCCAAUCCAUGAGUUAGCUGAUUUGUAAAAUUUAUUUUUUCUUUUCUUUUUUUGAAACAGGGACUCACUGUAUAGCUCUGCUGGCCUUAAACUUACGCAUAGCUCAGACUGGCUUUGAAUUCAUGGCAAUCCUCUAGCCUCCACUUUCCAAAUGCUGGGAUGGCAGGCAUGUGCCAAUGCCAGUCUGAAAUUUACAUUCUUAGUAGCAUAAAUGAAUGGAUGAAACUCAUUUCUCAGUGUUAAAAACUGGUGCUCAGGUUUUAAUUUGCAUAAUUAACCAUUAUUUCUUCCAUGUUCUCCCAGAAGUCCCUCUUUCUUUUUUUUUUUUUUUUUUAAAUAACUAUGCUGGGAAGAACAUGAUGGAUAGAUAGCAGCAGCUAUGGAGGCUCUUUGAGAUAUCCCGCUUAGAAUCCAGGAAUGGUGCGGUACGAGGAGUCCUAAGCAAGGGGAGAUACACCCUGCCGACCCAGGAAUGAACUAAGCUAAGAGAAACCAACUGGAAAUCCAAUCCUGGUGCUAUAACAGGAACAGAUAAAAUCUCAGCACAGAAGCUAGAACCUGCGCCACUGGAAGCCACGAUCUGAAUUUCCUGCUGCCACUGCUGUGUCCAAAUCUGCAGUGCAGGGAGAGAGGUGCAUGAAAGCUCUGAGAGCGGGAAUCUGCAAAUGGAGUUGAGAGCAGAACUAGCAGGGAGCCCUACACUGACUUGCGGUGAGUGAGGUGGAACAGGGACCCUUUCAUAGAGUAGGAGGCUCCAGCAAAGGACAUAGUGGGACCAGGCAGACUUGCUGGGAUGGGGCACUGCAGUGACUUCAGUCACAUAUUCCUCUGUCAAGCAGGAUUGGUGGGGAGAGCCUGGCCUGUGUGAUGCCACUGACUUAGACCCAGUAGGUGAGUCUAACACAGGUCCCAGCGCCUGGAGGUGCACCCUAGCAGUGAAGCCUUCAGUAGGUUGACCUGGUGGGGUGGUCCCAGCAGAGGCUUCCCAGGUCUGUGUCUCCCUAGUACACUGCAGUGGGUGGGAACACCUAGCCGGUGCAAUUCAAACAAACUAUAAUUGAAAAAAGAGAAAAAAAUUGGGCCUUCUACAUUCACUUGUAUGGAAGGAACAAAAAGUAUGGGAAGAGGAAGCAACAAGAAAGGGUCCUCAAUCCCCAAUCCUGAGAACACUGAUCCAGGAAAGGGAAAUGCAAAGGAAGACAGAAAACAUGCAAUAUCAGACAUGGCACCAAUAGACAUAAAGCGAUAUCUCCAGAGCCUCAUAGACGAGUUCAAAAAUGAAGUAUUUAAUGAAAUAAAGCAAGAGAUAAGGAAAAUAGUUAGAGAAAUGCUACGCACCACCCAAGAAAAAAUAGAUGGUGGAAUGGAAGAACAGAAAAAAAGGGGAGAAUUGUUGGAUAGAUAAAAUAGAGAAAACAUAGAAUACAUGAAGCAGGUUCAAAGAAUUACCAGGAAACUAAAAACUCUAUCAAAAGCUGGCAUAACAGCUUGAAAGAAACUAAGGAUAGAUUAUCUGAAUUGGAGGGCAGACUUAUAAUAUGGGAGCAUGAAAUGGAAAACUUCUUAAAAAUAACAAGAAAAUAAACAGCAAUAAUACAAACACUAGAAGAUGAUAAGAGGAUCUACAACCUAAGAAUUAAGAACAUAAAAGAAGAAGUAGGGACACACACAAAUGGACUACAAAAGCUAUUCACAGGCAUAAUCCAAGAGAAUUUCCCUAAUUUAGCAAAAGGUAAAGAUACUCGGAUGUAUGAGGCAUACAGGACCCCAGCCUCCUACAACCCAAACAGAGCUACACCCAGGCAUAUAAUAAUCAAAAUUCCAGAAAUCUAAUAGAACAGAAUACUAAAAGCCAUCAGAGACAAGAAACAGAUCACUCACAAGGGAACACCCAUUAGAAUUACAGAAGACUUCUUGGCACAAACCAUCAAAUCACGAAGAGCGUGGGGGGAAAUAAUUCAAGCUUUGAAAGAUAACAACCUCCAGCCAAGAUUGAUAUAUCCUGCACAACUAUCCCUAGAAAUCGAUGGAAAAACAAGGUGCUUCCAGGAUAAAGAGGAACUAGGGGAAUUUGCAACCACCAAUUCAACUCUACAGAGAAUACUGCAGGAUAUUCUAAAAAAGGAAAAUACCAAGACUUCAGAAACAGUGGCAGAGAGGCCACAAUGAAUGGAGCAGAAAGCGAAAUGAAGAAGACAAACUGACAACAAACGAUAGAAAAAUUGCUCAUCAGAAAUGAGGCAGAGAAGAUUGGAUGGUAGGAACAGCUAUUUUGGAGAAAACAAGACACCAUAAUGGCUAGUGCUGAUUUAGUAUCAUCUUGCUUUGAAGUCCCAUCAAGCAUUUAUUCUUCUGUCUCCAUUGGUCUUAACAGGUUGUAUAUUAUUGGAUUUUAUUAUAUGUGAUAAUAUAAGCAAAAGCUUUUAUAGACAAGGAGAUUAUACAGAAACCACUGUUCAUUUUCUGCUGGUUGGUUCUAAAUAACCUGUAAUACUGUCAUUCUCUCGAAUGGUUUUACAUUGUCUUGAUAUGUUUGGUGCUAUAGUAUACGAAGUUAUGCUCAAAGAUUUCAAGGAAAGAGAUGCUAUGGUAACUACUUUUAUGUCAGAAUGUCUUGUGGUGAAACACUAUUUUGCUUAAAUGGUUAUGCUUUGACCUGUGCUGUUUUGUUGUUAUGCCCUCUUUUAUCUCAGUCUCCUUUUUUAAUUAUUUACUUUUUAUUUUUUUCUUUUUAAUUAAGGGAAAAAUAAAAAAGCAGGAUAUAUUAUUAUAGUAACCCACUUUGAUUUCCUAUUCACUUGACUUGAAACCCUGUAUAGCCCUCACCAUCUUGCUUGACUGAUUUUCCUCUAUUCUGCUUUGCUUGCUAGUACCAAGUUUGAAAGUAUAGGCAACAACUGUAAAAACAAUAAGAUUCAUUAUGAUGCCGAUUCCGGUUGACUAUUAUCUUCUUUUAAAGUCCUGUAAUGUCUCCGAUGUUUUGGUUUUAUUCUUUACUGUUUUGUUCAAUUUUAUUAUAACUGAUGAUAUAGGCAAUUCUUUUUAAGAUAGCAAGAGGCAGUAUGGUAACCAUUGUUGAUCACCUAGCAUUUUGUUUUUACAUUAUCUAUUAUGUCCAUCCUUUUGAUUUGACUGACUCUGUUCUGUUAUGUCGUAUUUGGUUUUACUCUCUUCAAAAAAAAAGGAAUAAGAACUGUGGGAGUAAUAAAACCCAAAAUGUGUAAUUGUCAUUGUACAAAAGAAAGGAAAAGAAAUUGCUCUAAAGAAUAUAACCGCAUAUAUAUUUAAGUGUAUAAGACAGAGAACCAUAUUACUGAGUUUUGUUGGAUCAUUAAACAAAACUAUUUGCAGUUUCACUGUUUGAAAGUCCACUUUAUAUGCUUUAAUUUUGUAACUUGAACAACUAUUUCUAAGAUAACAAUAUGUAAUCUAUUUGAAAGGGUUGCUGGCCCAGACUGGACACUGUAGCCAAAAAAAGCCUCAGCCAGAAUUAGGGUGCUCCUGCCUCCCCCACCCCUAGAGAUUCACCUGUAACCCUAUACCCCCACCCUUAGAAACCAACCUCUGGCACCAAACUAAGACCAGUGGGCUACCUGUGCAUCCCUAAUACCCUCUAGGUUCCACCCCAGGCCGAGGCUACUUAUGUGCCUCACUCCAUGUGUUCCAGAGAGAGAUUGCCGGCCCUGGGGUGGAGAUGCCACGCCCCAGGGGGUUGGAGGU